rnacentral:lncRNA from 1 species
ACACACACACACACAGGCUCACGACAGCAUUGUGACAUCAUAAUGUACCAGUUUACAUCAUAGCAUACCUCUUAGCCAAUAGCGGUGGCAGAUUUAAAUUAGAAUACAGUGCAGAGUUUUUACCUGACAACGGCACAACACUGCCAGUUUUAGGCAGAAUAUUUAAAAUUUAACUAAGAUGCACUGAAGUGCCAAAUUAUUGACUACACGUGUCUGCAGCAUGAUUAGACACUCGCUUAUUUAGUUUAUCAGCAAAAAAACAUUUAUUUGGGGGUGACUUGCUCUUUAACUAAAUCACUGAUCAUCCUUUCUCUGUUGCCAGAGCAACGCUCUGUCCUUUUCCCAUCUAAUCACAGUCCUAUCGCGAGACUACGCCAUCUCUACAAGUCUGAGCUGGUUAGGUAUCGCGGGAAUACAACAGGAGGCAAGGCAGUGACGUAAUCGCCGUCGCGAGCUCGCGAGGCGGAGCGAACCGCUGCAACUUUGGUUGAACUUCUGAUUUGAACGAAGCUGGAGGCGGUACCCGGAUCCCACGGACAGCUGUAGCUCCCCGGAGGCUUUUUCGCUCUUCGGGUGACUUGAUUUCUGUCACGGUUUGCGUUUGUCCGCGACUGACCGGCGAGAGCGUUAUUUUCCUUCUUCUGGAGACCGACACGGAGGGAGUUAUUAAAGGUUCACUGGGCAGCCUUUCCCAUGGUGUUGAUCAGGUUUCCGUGCAGCUGUUCUAG